rnacentral:rRNA from 1 species
AGAGUUUGAUCCUGGCUCAGGACGAACGCUGGCGGCGUGCUUAACACAUGCAAGUCGAACGGAAAGGCCCUUCGGGGUACUCGAGUGGCGAACGGGUGAGUAACACGUGGGUGAUCUGCCCUGCACUUUGGGAUAAGCCUGGGAAACUGGGUCUAAUACCGAAUAUGACCAUGCGCCUCCUGGUGUGUGGUGGAAAGCUUUUGCGGUGUGGGAUGGGCCCGCGGCCUAUCAGCUUGUUGGUGGGGUAAUGGCCUACCAAGGCGACGACGGGUAGCCGGCCUGAGAGGGUGACCGGCCACACUGGGACUGAGAUACGGCCCAGACUCCUACGGGAGGCAGCAGUGGGGAAUAUUGCACAAUGGGCGCAAGCCUGAUGCAGCGACGCCGCGUGAGGGAUGACGGCCUUCGGGUUGUAAACCUCUUUCAGCACAGACGAAGCGCAAGUGACGGUAUGUGCAGAAGAAGGACCGGCCAACUACGUGCCAGCAGCCGCGGUAAUACGUAGGGUCCGAGCGUUGUCCGGAAUUACUGGGCGUAAAGAGCUCGUAGGUGGUUUGUCGCGUUGUUCGUGAAAACUUACAGCUUAACUGUGGGCGUGCGGGCGAUACGGGCAGACUUGAGUACUGCAGGGGAGACUGGAAUUCCUGGUGUAGCGGUGAAAUGCGUAGA